rnacentral:rRNA from 1 species
GACGAACGCUGGCGGCGUGCCUAAUACAUGCAAGUCGAGCGGACGAAUCGAAAGCUUGCUUUUGAUUCGUUAGCGGCGGACGGGUGAGUAACACGUGGGCAACCUGCCCUUUAGACGGGGAUAACACCGAGAAAUCGGUGCUAAUACCGGAUAACACGAAAUGUCGCAUGACGUUUCGUUGAAAGACGGCGCAGGCUUUCGCUACAGGAGGGGCCCGCGGCGCAUUACGUAGUGGUUGAGGUAACGGCUCACCAAGGCGCCGAUGGUUAGCCGACCUGGGAGGGGGAUCGGCCACCCUGGGACUGAGACACGGCCCAGACUCCUACGGGAGGCAGCAGUAGGGAAUCUUCCGCAAUGGACGAAAGUCUGACGGAGCAACGCCGCGUGAGCGAAGAAGGCCUUCGGGUCGUAAAGCUCUGUUGUUAGGGAAGAACAAGUAACGCAGUAACUGGCGUUACCGUGACGGUACCUAACGAGAAAGCCACGGCUAACUACGG